ensembl:lncRNA LNCATV lncRNA negative regulator of antiviral signaling
AGGUACGUGCUACAUCUUCUGGAAACCUAACCCUCGCACGCCAAGCGGGAGGCUCUUUUGGUCAAAUACUCCCAGGACUUAUGCUUGAGUUCUGAAAUAAGUGAAAGCAGAUGCCAUUCCUGUGCGACAUAGCUAACUGACCGCAGCCCAGAAAGUUCUGUUGGCUAGCUGUGUGGGGGCUGUCUUAAGCCCUGAAAACAUUCUGCAUCAGAACUCAGCUUCAGAAAGGGGUUCCUGCUCUCCUGUCUGCCCUGGAGAUAGUCACGCAUGACAGCUUGUGGGCUGACUGAGCAUUUAGGCAGCUGCUUUUCCUCUCUCCCUCCAGGAGGAAAAUAGAGCAAAAAGGUAGAACUUACUUCCACACCCAAGUUUCUCCUGAAAGCACUGUGCCUGUUUUGUUUGCUACACAUCUUGGCUUCAGGAAAAAGAGGACCUUAGAACUGAAGGAGCAAGAUUCCAACAUCACACUGUUUUUGUUAGCUGUGUGUGUGUGUUUCCUGUGUAUCCAAAAGACAGAGGAGAUGAAAAAGCAAAAGAAAAGAAACGAGGAAUCAGAUUGGAAAGAAGGUUUCUCCAGGACGUCACCUGUAUGAGGUACACAGUGUGAUGACACACUCUGUGCUUUUCCUACUUGUGUCCACGUGAGUGUCUGGAGCUGCCCUUCAAGGAGAGCAAUAGAUGAAUGAUUCUGCCUUCCCGCUGAGAGGGAUGUGGGUCCUGCGGAUGGUCGGGGUGAAGCUUCCUCUCCUUUCUGCUGACAGCACUUCCUCAUUAAAUGCAGAGAUCUGCAAAAAGGGAAAAUAAAAACACAAGAAGAAAAAUGAGGCA